rnacentral:rRNA from 1 species
AUUGAACGCUGGCGGCAGGCCUAACACAUGCAAGUCGAACGGUAACAGGAAACAGCUUGCUGUUUCGCUGACGAGUGGCGGACGGGUGAGUAAUGUCUGGGAAACUGCCUGAUGGAGGGGGAUAACUACUGGAAACGGUAGCUAAUCCCGCAUAACGUCGCAAGAACAAAGAGGGGGACCUUCGGGCCUCUUGCCAUCGGAUGUGCCCAGAUGGGAUUAGCUAGUAGGUGGGGUAACGGCUCACCUAGGCGACGAUCCCUAGCUGGUCUGAGAGGACGACCAGCCACACUGGAACUGAGACACGGUCCAGACUCCUACGGGAGGCAGCAGUGGGGAAUAUUGCACAAUGGGCGCAAGCCUGAUGCAGCCAUGUCGCGUGUAUGAAGAAGGCCUUCGGGUUGUAAAGUACUUUCAGCGGGGAGGAAGGGAGUAAAGUUAAUACCUUUGCUCAUUGACGUUACCCGCAGAAGAAGCACCGGCUAACUCCGUGCCAGCAGCCGCCGUAA